UGGGGAAUAUUGGACAAUGGGGGAAACCCUGAUCCAGCGAUGCCGCGUGUGUGAAGAAGGCCUGCGGGUUGUAAAGCACUUUCAGUUGGGAAGAUAGUUUGUAGGGGAAUAUCCUGCAGAUGAGACGUUACUAACAAAAGAAGCCCCGGCAAACUUCGUGCCAGCAGCCGCGGUAAUACGAAGGGGGCUAGCGUUGUUCGGAAUUACUGGGCGUAAAGCGCACGUAGGCUGAUUGUUAAGUCAGGGGUGAAAUCCCAGAGCUCAACUCUGGAACUGCCCUUGAUACUGGCAAUCUCGAGUCCGGAAGAGGUUAGUGGAAUUCCCAGUGUAGAGGUGAAAUUCGUAGAUAUUGGGAAGAACACCAGUGGCGAAGGCGGCUAACUGGUCCGGUACUGACGCUGAGGUGCGAAAGCGUGGGGAGCAAACAGGAUUAGAUACCCCAGUAGUCCCUGAGCGGGCUGGCAAGGCGCAU
rnacentral:rRNA from 1 species